rnacentral:rRNA from 1 species
AUUGAACGCUGGCGGCAGGCCUAACACAUGCAAGUCGAACGAGUGGCGGACGGGUGAGUAAUGUCUGGGAAACUGCCCGAUGGAGGGGGGUAACUACUGGAAACGGUAGCUAAUACCGCAUACCAUCGGAUGUGCCCAGAUGGGAUUAGCUAGUAGGUGGGGUAACGUUUCACCGAGGCGACGAUCCCUAGCUGGGCUGAGAGGAGGACCAGCAACACUGGAACGGCGACACGGUCCAGACACCUACGGGAGGCCGCAGUGGGGAAGAUUGCACAAUGGGCGCAAGCCUGAUGCAGCCAUGCCGCGUGUAUGAAGAAGGCCUUGGGGUUGUAAAGUACUUUAGGCGAGCAGGCGUUACGCGCAGAAGAAGCACCGGCUAACUCCGUGCCAGCAGCCGCGGUAAUUC